UUCACCCUCCUCUGCCGCCUCUCCCUCAUCCACCCCUCCGUCCGUGCCCACACCUGCGCCCUCGCCCUCCAUCGCGUCGCCCUUGCACACCCCUUUGUCCAUGCCCUUCCUAACCUCCUCCCCACCAUCGCCAAAUGGAGGGGUGGUGAAGGUGCAGGAGGAGCAGGGGAAGUAGGUGGAGCAAGCGGAGUCAAAACUGGAGUCGAAGAAGGCGCGGGGAACAAAGAGGAGGGACUGCGGAUGGAGGAGAGUUAGGGAGGAGACAAAUAAGGAGAGAAUAAUUUGGUCAUUUUGUCGUUACAGUUUACUAUGACCCUUUUGUGAGCAUUUUUUUUAUUUUUUAAGUAGGCAAAAUGUAGGUUCAAAAAUAAAAGUGAAAAAUCGUAUAUUAACAGAAAGUUUUCUAUAAUUUAGCCUAGAAUAAAAUGCUCCAAAUCCGUCCGGACCUGCCUCCAGAUUCAUUCCAUUUGCAUUCAUAGUAAAAACUAUUUACCUGGCAAAAGGUUUGGUGGUUGGUACCCGAGGUCCCAGAUUAGUAUAAAGUAUUUAAUAUGCUUGAAUAAUAAUGCAUGUUAUA
rnacentral:lncRNA from 1 species